UGGAAUUCUUUUUCUUGACUUGUUUGCUUCGUCUUCGCCUCCUCUCCUUUGGGCCGAUCAAGCUUUUGUUUUGAUAAGUCCAGGAUAGCUCCCGGAGAUACAGAGUCCAAACUUUUAUAUAAAAAGAGGUUGUUAGGUCCGAGGUAGUGAGGAAGGAUCCACUCAACGAAGGUCUCAUUGCCGGCGGGCCGUGCAAUCAAUUUGCCAUUUAGAAGAGGACACUCUUUCCCGCGCUAAACCGGAAUUUUCCCAUAUGAAAACCCGGAGAUAAAAAAUAAAUAAAAAACAAAAGAAGAGGAGAAAAAAAGGAGAGAACAAGGAGAUUUUGGAAUUCGUCAAGCCGAGGCCCAUUAGGAUCCGAUUCGAGUCCCCGGCGGCAAAAUAACCGUCUGAUAGGCCGUCUCCGGCGCUUGCUCCCGGUCUCCCAGCCACGGAUCAGGAGGAUCGAGUGGGUAACUUCGUGCAUAUCUCCCCUCGCUCCGCUUUUCGAAAUCUCCAAGUUUUUGGGAUGAUAGAUUGAUUAAGUUUUGGAAAGGCAGCGGCUUGAAUUGAUGGGCGCUAGUUCGAUGGAUGCGGAGGCCGCGAGGCCUGCGCUUCUUCGAGUACGGAUGAUGGCGGUGGACCGAUGGAUGCGGAGGCUCAAUUCGGUCAUCUUCGCAAGGAAAUGGCCCUUGGUGAGAGCAUUGAGAGGCAAGCGAUGGCAAAUACUUUUUCUUGGUGAGAACAUGGAGGAAAGCAAGAAGUAUCUCUUGGCUAACAUGCCUAUGAUCGCCUGAGGAGUUGCAGAGGAACCAGGGAAGGCUGAGGUGAAGAAGGAUAAAGAAAAAAGGCAGGUCAUGUGAUGCCAAAUACUGAGGGCUGCUAAGCUAAGGUUGUGCAAUAAAGCAUAUAAACAAUUCUUCUUGCUGGAGGACAUGACCAAUGCUCAACAAUCUGCAGAUUCUAGAAGUAUGGAAUAUGUCUCCAACUGUCAUCAUUUUGGAUGGUUGUUGUUCU